AUUUAAAAUGGUGGGUGAUGUGGGAAGGUAUCCCAACAUGAUCAUGCAGUGGCAUAAUCAUGGCUCACUGCAGCCUUGUCCUCCUGGGCUCAAGACAUCCUCCCGCCUCAGCCUCCAGUGUAGCUGAAACUAUAGGCAUGUGUUACCACACCCAGCUAAUUUUUGAUUUUUUGUGGAGACAGGAUCUCGCUGUGUUGCCCGGGCUGGUCUCAAACUUCUGGACACAAACAAUCCUCCACAUUGGCCUCCCAAAAUGCUGGAAUUACAGGUGUGAGCCACUGGACCAGCAGGACUCUAAAUUUUGGGUCAGAUGAAAGUGAGAUCCAUACAUCCUUCUUCAGCAACUUGUGCCUCUGCUCUGCACCUCCCGCAAUUAACUACUGAAAAAAGAACACAGCUUCACAAAAGAGAUUGUAAAAUCAGGAAGUAUAUCUAAGUCACCUCCAGUAGCCGUAACUCUACCUUGUCCAGUAAAAGGAUAAUUCUGGCAGCUAUUGAAAACAGACUGAAGAGAAGAAAGAAGAUUUGGAGGAAUAUGUAUCCAAGAUUGAUGAUGGUGGCUCAGAUCAGUGCUGCUUGUUGCUGACGUUUCUGCCCAAACAUCAUGAAAUGUGGAGAAGAAAGAACACUCAGAUGUGCCCUGGAGACUUUCCUUUUAUUUUUAAACAGUUUUUUUUUCCAUUGGGUUUGACCAACUCUAUAUUCGACUUGAACAAAUCCGAAGGAAAGCUUCCAAUUAUGGGGAACAAGUCCUCUGAAGUGGCUAAAUUCCCACACACACAAAAGAAAAGAUGAGUCUAUGCCCAGGACCACCAGAUAAUUGAGUCCUGUACAAAAGCUUCUGACUAAACAAUGUGCUCUGGCUCAGGACUAUACAGAGAAAAGACACAGUUUUUAAAUUGAUCGUUCAAAAGGAAACAUAUUUAUGAUAUUUGCUCCAUGAUAUGUAUCUCUCAUCUGUUAGCUCAGGCAGAAUUAAAAUGCUAGACAAUAAUGUUCCAUGCCACUAUGCUUACUCGGGUCUCUCACAUUGGUGUACUUCUGGCACAAAGUCACAUGACAUUUGAGUAAUAGCUGUCUCCCAUGUGGACUUUACACCACAUGAUGUCAGGGGCCAUUCAUUCUAUUCCAAUUACAUAAAUCAUAGAUUAGGAUAGGUCUUGGCAAGGACUGGGUACUAUAUGAAUAUUUUUGAGUAAAUGUAUGAGCACAAAAUAUUUUAUGUGGUUAUGUAUCUAGUAAAACAUGCAAGGCUAACAUAUCCUCUUUCAUUAGACUUCAAGAAAACUCCAGCGAAUAUUUAUCAGAAAAAGAAAACCAGGAAAAAUGAAAGAAGUAAUAAAAUUAAAAUCUCGUACAGACCAAAAAUAAAUGAUACAGAGCAUUUAGGUAGUCAGAAGCUGUGCUAACUGGUUUCCAAACAAGGUAAAGAACAGCCUGCUAGGAACACACUGUAUCUCAAAGGGCAAAACAAUAACGUCAAACCUUUCUCCUCUGCAUUGCAAAUACCAUUUGCAUUUCAAUGACACUACACUCUAAAGAAUAUGCUCUACUAAGUUUGUUAGAUAAGCCGCAUGUGCUGUGUUUCAAAUCACAUAGUAAUAAAAGUGUUCCAGUUCUUUGAUAGAUUUACGUAAUUCCCUAACUGGACUACCAUUGAUUCCCCUUAAGAAAGGUAUAUAGACUCUCUAUGAAAAAUAGAGUUUCUUAAAUCCAGCUUCCUAUGUGGAAAGUAUUAUUACUUUAUAGGAAAAUAAUUUCUAGCUGUUUUCCUGUUGUUCCCAAGAGUCUUUCCAAUUUCUUUAUAUAUCUGUCUUAGAAUGUUCAAUUUUCUCAAGCCCCUUAAAAAAUCAUUCUUGCUUUUCUACUCAUUUCCACUUGUUAAACUUGACCCAGUUUUCUCUUGGUUUCAUAUUUUACCAUUCAACUUUUAUUCCACUCUCUACCCUCUCCAACUCCCCUAAAUAAAUUGUUUUUUCAGGUCAUAAUACCCCUAUUUGUUUUUCCUACACAACGGGUAAGCUCAGAUGGAACAUUAUCGAAUGGUGAAAAGCAUAAGUUUGUCUUAGGACACAAAGUUUCUAACAAAGAUUGAUUCUUCUCAUAUGAAAUAACUGCUUCUUUAUACUUUUCAUGGCAUUUUAGAAUACAGGGUAGGAUUGCAGUCCCUGAAAUGUACCAAUUCUGAAUUAAACUAAUUAAUUAAUUAAUUUUCUUAGCACCCCACAGAGAUUGUGCCAUCACUUUUUUGUAUCAUGCUGCCCCUGAUUUUCCUCCUAGUGGGCCCGAAACAUCCAUCUUUCCACGAGUGUGGUCAGGAGAUUAGGACUGUUAUAAAUGAAGUGCAAAGAGAUUUACUAUUCCAAGCAGAAUUUUGCAGUCAGUAAGAUGUUAAAGAUUAUCUAAAGAAUAUCAAGUCAAAUCCAGAAGUCUCAGCUGAAGGUGUUUCUUCUUUAACAUACAGAUUUUAUACUGCCCAUCAAUGAGGGUAGGCCUUGGGACAGAUUUAUUCUAAGAAAUGAGGAUAGAGUAGAGAAAGAAAAAGUCUGAAGCUCUUCUUAUGGGGCUGCAGAGCUGGGAGACUUUCAGAAAUAUGAGAAAGGAAAUAAGAGAGGCAGAUGACACAUGAGUUUUCAUGUUUUCUCUCCAAACAGAUAGGCAGUCUGGAAAAGCUAAGGAUGUGGGCUUUUGACUAGAAUAAUGUUUGGGACUCUGAAAGGGGUUUGCCUUGGAUGACUGCCCUGCACAGCUUCAAGAUGGCCACAUCGGGGGAAACACAGUGGCACAGUGUGGUGACAGAGGGCUGAUGUUCAGUAUCUGAGUCAUUCUUCAUGUGUGGCAUGAAUAGAGCUAUUUGUUCUAAGGAGGGACUUUGGAGGUGGCUAAAUGGAGUUGGAUAGUCUGCCAUGUGGCCAGUUUUGUUGGUGAUUCUGCAGAUGAACUACCUGCACCAGGAGUCUGAGGGAGGAUGUUACAGGAAUGCAGAGAGGUCUACAGUACAAGUAGGAGUUAAAAUGAGGUCAACUCUCAGCCUGGCAUGGUGACUUGGGCCUGUAAUCCCAGAAUUUUGGGAGUCUGAGGUGGGAGGAUUGCUUGAGCUCAGGAGUUUGAGACCAGCCUGGGCAACAUAGCCAAACCAUCUCUACAAAAAAUAAAAAAAUUAUGUGAGUGUGGUGGUGAGCACCUGUAGAUCCAGCUACUUGGGAGGCUGAAGUGGGAGGAGUGCUUGAGCCUGGGAGGCCAAGGCUGCAGUGAGCCAUGAUUGCAUCACUGCAGUCCAGCCUGAGUGACAGAGCAAAACCCUGUCUCAAAAAAAAAAAAAAAAAAUGAGGUCAACUCAGCCACUGAUUACUGCUAGAUGCUGACCAAGUUAGAGAGGACAACCCAGUGGAUUAAACCUUUCUCCAAAUUAAGCCACAUUGCUAGCAUGUCAGUGAUGAUCAAGAGGUCAAAGUAGUGAGUGAGGGCUAAAGAAGUGAGAGCACACUUAAUAUCAGAAAUAUUUCAGUCCAUGGGCAAAAGGAUAUUCUUACCAUGGGUAAGAGGAGGAAGUUUGCAGAAAUCUGAAACACUGAAACAAUUCUCUUAAAGACACUGGGAAAGGCUUCAGUGUCCAAACUGUUUUAAACCAAAUGAGUCUGUUUUUAAUUUUUUCUCCAACUGGAGAAAAUUGAAAAUUGUUUUGGUUGGGGCCAAGGGUGAAGGAGUCUUGAAGAACAUUGGAUCAGAUAUACCAAAUGACCAAUUUGAUAGAUUGAUUGAUUGACUAAUUUUUUUUUAAACUUUUAAGUUACUAUGGGAGUAAAUUCAUUACUUUGCUACAAAUGUUGUGGGAAAGUGGACAAGUCAAUGCACUACUGUGAAUACUUAUUCACUAAUUCACGUUUCCAUUUGGAAAAAUAAAGGAGUUGGGCUGCAUAAUUCUUAAGGUCUUCUUUAGUUGAGAGAACCUAUAUGUAUUUAUAGUCUGUCCUUCUUAUGUAGAGAACACGAAUGUCUAAUUAUUUACAUUUAUUUUUAUGAUAGAAUUAAAACGAUGUAUUAAGCUGGCCUUUUUUCAGACAUACUUGCAACCAGAGUCAUCAAUUUUGAAGACAGCAACCAAGCCAAGCAAUGUGAGGUUACAGCUAUGAAAUAGAACAGAGAUGUCUAGACUAUAGACACAGCCUGCCGUUUUGUGCUGAUUGGUAAAGUGUUCCAGCCAACUGGAAGCAAAUAUUUCUCAGAAGCAGUUUCCUGCUCUCAUCCUCUCCUCGCCAUGCCCACUGUGCCCAACAUGGCUCCAGCUGGGUCACAGAAGACUUUGUCCUGGAAUACAGCAUUUCCCUAUUUAAAUCUCUAACUUUGUAUGUACUCUUUUCAAUAAAAGCAUAUUUUUCAUUACCAUUCUGACCAUACUCCCUUCUCUGCUGGCUCCACAGCUAAGGUUUCUGCACCUGUUCCAUAACUUCUGGGAUCUGUCUCUGUUGCUGCACGUAUGCAUUCCAUAAGCAUUAAUAGAUCCAUUCACUCUUCUGAAAUCUGGGCAGCUUAAAUCAUAUUACAUCUAACGUAUUUUUACUAGAGUCAGUUCUACCCCCCGACUCUUGAGUGCACACACAGGCACUUCUCUGUAAGUUCCUUGAGGUCAGAAAUAGUCCCCUAGUCAGCCUUCUGCCUUCUGUAGUUCCUGGUCCAUCAAGGUGCAGAGUACAUAUUCCACAGAUAAAUAGAUAACUCUCAUUCAAUGCUCUGAUCUUUCCUUUAUCUUGUUUCCCUGGAUAUUCCUCUUUCACGGCUCUUUUCUAUUUAAUUU
rnacentral:lncRNA from 10 species